rnacentral:lncRNA from 1 species
CUCAGAAGCGACCCCUGGUUAAUACCUGCAUUCUUAGAUGACCCAAAGUUCAAGCAACAGGAGGGAGAAUAUUAAGAAGAACAUGUGGCUAAGAGGACAGAAGAACAGGUCAUGCAUUUAACCUGAGCCAUGGAAAGGGUUCCCAGGGCACCGAUGAAGACAGUGAGAAAUGGGCAGAGGUGGCAGCAACUUGGCAAGAAGGGAAAAGCCACACGAUGUGAUACCGACUUCCCCCUCUCGCUCGGGCAGCUCUGCAUUGCGUAAGUAGGCAUUAAAAACCUGUUCAUUUUGUUUUGGUAAUUGUAUUUGCAUUUACUGUGUACCUUUAACAGAUUAUUUUAUUGCUGAUUUAUAUUACUAUAUAUAGUUCCUUUCCGUGUAGAAGGCAAAGGUAAUUCUUUCAGCAUUGUAGCAUGCUGCACACAAGCAUGUUCACUAAUGAGUUCAUUAAGAGUCACCUAAGUAGGUAGUUGGUGUUCUAAAUGCUUUAUAUCAUGCAGAAAUCCACAAUGCAUUGCUUAUAGGUGGUUAAGGAAUAUAGGUGAUAUAGGGAACACAUUAUUAUUUUUUCCCCGUUAAUGUAGUAGAAUAUGGACUUCUGCUACCCGCAAAUUCCCUAUCCAGGGGCAUUUCAGGUACGGAUUAGAGUCAAGUAACACGGGCCAACUGUAUCUACUGAAUGAUUUAUUUAUUAUUUUCCAGCUUGAUUGAGGUAUAAUUGAUAUCGAACACUGCGUAAGCUUCAGGUGUACAGUGCAUGGGUUUGAUACACUCAUACACUGCAAACUGAUCACCCCUAUGGUAUUAACGGACCCCUCCAUCACUCUGAGUGACUGUUUAAAAUGCCAGGCACUCUCUCAGCCCUAGGGGCUCAGCAGUGAACAGUCUUUGUCCUUGCAGAGCUUACCUCUGGUGGGGGGAGAAGAACAUGAAAAGAUACACAUGACAUAAACUAUGUCAGGGGAAGAUGCGUGUCAAAGAGAAAGAUAACCCAAGCCGGGGGUGAUGCAGACAGAUGAGGAAGGGGCUGUCAGAGAAAUGGUCCAGCAGAGAGACCGAAGCGAGGUGUCCAAGUCAGCCAUUGGGAUAUCUGAGGGCUGGGCCAGGGCUGAGCCAAGGAU